AGAGUUUGAUUAUGGCUCAGAACGAACGCUGGCGGCAGGCCUAACACAUGCAAGUCGAGCGCGCCCUUCGGGGUGAGCGGCGACGGGUUAGUAACGCGUGGGAACGUACCCUUUGGUAGGGAAUAGCCACUGGAAACGGUGAGUAAUACCCUAUGAGCCCUUCGGGGGAAAGAUUUAUCGCCAAAGGAUCGGCCCGCGUUAGAUUAGGUAGUUGGUGGGGUAAUGGCCUACCAAGCCUACGAUCUAUAGCUGGUUUUAGAGGAUGAUCAGCAACACUGGGACUGAGACACGGCCCAGACUCCUACGGGAGGCAGCAGUGGGGAAUCUUGGACAAUGGGGGCAACCCUGAUCCCAGCCAUGCCGCGUGAGUGAAGAAGGCCUUAGGGUCGUAAAGCUCUUUCGCCUGUGAAGAUAAUGACGGUAGCAGGUAAAGAAACCCCGGCUAACUCCGUGCCAGCAGCCGC
rnacentral:rRNA from 1 species